rnacentral:pre_miRNA from 1 species
AAAAAGACAAACCCUGGUUUCCAUGCCCAACGUUUGACCGUCCGUCUUAUUUAAAAAAAUUAAAAAGACAAGUUACGUAUAAAAUAUUAAUCAUGUUUUAUCAUCUAACAAAAAUAAAAAUACGAAUUAUAAAAAAUUUUAUAUAAGACGGAUAAUCAAAGUUGGAUACGGAAAUCUAGGGUUUGUCUUUUU